UAGUAAACGUUGGAUAUAUGC
rnacentral:siRNA from 1 species